CUACGGGCGGCUCCAGUGGGGAAUAUUGGACAAUGGGGGAAACCCUGAUCCAGCAAUGCCGCGUGUGUGAAGAAGGCCUGCGGGUUGUAAAGCACUUUCGGUUGGGAGGACUGCUUCUAGCACUAAUAUUGUUGGAAGUUGACGUUACCUUCAGAAGAAGCACCGGCUAACUCCGUGCCAGCAGCCGCGGUAAUACGGAGGGUGCAAGCGUUAAUCGGAAUUACUGGGCGUAAAGCGCGCGUAGGCGGCUAGAUCAGUCGGGUGUGAAAGCCCCGGGCUUAACCUGGGAACUGCAUCCGAUACUGUCUAGCUCGAGUACAGGAGAGGAGAGUGGAAUUCCACAUGUAGCGGUGAAAUGCGUAGAUAUGUGGAGGAACACCAAUGGCGAAGGCAGCUCUCUGGCCUGAUACUGACGCUGAGGUGCGAAAGCGUGGAGAGUAAACAGGAUUAGAUACCCGAGUAGUC
rnacentral:rRNA from 1 species